CCUGAAGUAGCUCAGUCAGGAGAGCGUUAGACUGAGAAUUUAGAGGUCCCUGGUUCAAACCCAGGCUUUGGCA